rnacentral:rRNA from 1 species
UCGGUGACAGGUGGUGGCAUGGUUGUCGUCAGCUCGUGUCGUGAGAUGUUGGGUUAAGUCCCGCAACGAGCGCAACCCCUAUUGUUAGUUGCCAUCAUUCAGUUGGGCACUCUAGCGAGACUGCCGGUAAUAAACCGGAGGAAGGUGGGGAUGACGUCAAAUCAUCAUGCCCCUUAUGACCUGGGCUACACACGUGCUACAAUGGUUGGUACAACGAGUUGCGAGUCGGUGACGGCGAGCUAAUCUCUUAAAGCCAAUCUCAGUUCGGAUUGUAGGCUGCAACUCGCCUACAUGAAGUCGGAAUCGCUAGUAAUCGCGGAUCAGCACGCCGCGGUGAAUACGUUCCCGGGCCUU